AUGCCCCAUGCUGCAUGCCAUUGCCACCUCUCCAACAAUAGCGCGAUGAUGCACACGCGCCCAUGCUCAUCCUCAUCGCCUCCUUUCAUAUACUCCAGCACGCUGCACACGUACGCGCCCGCGUGCCCAGCCCCCAUUGCCCCUCCCGCGGCUAAGCAGCCAAGAACAUACGAGAAACCUGCACAGCGCUGCACACACACACACACACAGAGCGCAACGAACAGAAAGAGUGAGAGGCCCGACACUUGCGCCACCCCCUCCCGCUCCCCCUCCCAUCCAUCUCGCCAAAACCAUCCAUUAUUAGCCAGAUGCUGUCGUCGUCGUCGUCCGUCCCCCGUUGAUCUCUCCAAUCUCUUUUAG
rnacentral:rRNA from 1 species